rnacentral:rRNA from 1 species
AGGACGAACGCUGGCGGCGUGCUUAACACAUGCAAGUCGAGCGGAAAGGCCCUUCGGGGUACUCGAGCGGCGAACGGGUGAGUAACACGUGAGUAAUCUGCCCCUAGCUCUGGGAUAGCUCCGGGAAACCGGGAUUAAUACCAGAUACGACCACUUUAGACAUCUGCUGUGGUGGAAAGAAUUUCGGCUAGGGAUGAGCUCGCGGCCUAUCAGCUUGUUGGUGAGGUAACGGCUCACCAAGGCGACGACGGGUAGCCGGCCUGAGAGGGCGACCGGCCACGACUGGGACUGAGACACGGCCCAGACUCCUACGGGAGGCAGCAGUGGGGAAUAUUGGACAAUGGGCGCAAGCCUGAUCCAGCAAUGCCGCGUGGGUGAAGAAGGUCUUCGGAUUGUAAAGCCCUUUCGACGGGACGAUGAUGACGGUACCCGUAGAAGAAGCCCCGGCUAACUUCGUGCCAGCAGCCGC